UGCCAGCCGCCGCGGUAAUACGGAGGGACCUAGCGUAGUUCGGAAUUACUGGGCGUAAAGCGCGCGUAGGUGGUUUAUUAAGUUGGAUGUGAAAUCCCCGGGCUCAACCUGGGAACUGCGUUUAAUACUAGCAAGCUAGAGAAAUAGAGAGGAAAGUGGAACUCCCAGUGUAGAGGUGAAAUUCGUAGAUAUUGGGAAGAACACCAGUGGCGAAAGCGACUUUCUGGCUAUUUUCUGACGCUGAGGAGCGAAAGCGUGGGGAGCAAACAGGAUUAGAUA
rnacentral:rRNA from 1 species